GCUAAUACCGGAUAAGAAAAGCAGAUCGCAUGAUCUAGCUUUUAAAAGGCGGCGUAAAGCUGUCGCUAUGGGGAUGGGCCCCGCGGUGCAUUAGCUAGUUGGCAAGGUAAAGGGCUUACCAAGGCGAUGAUGCAUAGCCCGAGUUGAGAGACUGAUCGGCCACAUUGGGGACUGAGACACGGGCCCAAACUCCUACGGGAGGCAGCAGUAGGGAAUCUUCCACAAUGGACGCAAGUCUGAUGGAGCAAACGCCGCGUGAGUGAAGAAGGUUUUCGGAUCGUAAAGGCUCUGUUGUUGGUGAAGAAGGAUAGAGGUAGUAACUGGCCCUUUAUUUGACGGUAAUCAACCCAGAAAGUCACGGGCUAACUACGUGCCCAGCAGCCGCGGUAAAU
rnacentral:rRNA from 1 species